rnacentral:sRNA from 1 species
CAGAUAAUACUUUGGGAAAUGUAUUCGAUAUCUCAUCCUCUUUACAUACUUUGUCAGGUUACAAAUUUGCUUAGUGAUAUUUAUUUUUUUAUAAGUCGGUAAAUCAAAAUGGUCUGCGGAGACGCAAGAACUAGGGCUGCGGCGGUCGGAGUAUUUGCCAUAAUAUUCGUAAUUGUCCUUUUACUUUUGAGUGCAUUUUAUACUGGAGAGAUCGAAAGAGACUGGGCCUACUACCUUCAAGCAGUUCUCUGGUUUCUGAUUGUUCCAACCGCCGUUGCUCUGCUGAUUGGGAUCUAUUAUGAAAAUAGUUUUAUUGUGAUGGUAUGGCUAAUUGUGGCUUCUGUGAUCGGAGUCAUUUUGACCAUUUUGCACAUCAUAGCUCUAACGCAACUAAUUGACGAUAAGGAUAUUAUUAUCAAUUCGAUUUUUUUUAUCAUCCACAUCGUUUUUUUUGCGUGUUGUGUUUGGUUUCCAUAUAAAUUCUAUAGCACGAUCUCUGACUCUGACCCUUACUAGACCGCGGCCAUUACAUAGUGAAUGUGAUAAGGACUCGUACUUUAUAAUAAGUACAAAAAUUGUUGAUUUUCGAACUUAAUAAAUCUUGAAGUUGGCGCACCGAGUAAUUUUUCAUUCUCAUAUGCAAAAACAGGUGAAUUGUUUUUGUGGCCAUCAUUUAAUUUUUGCGCAAUCAGUUGCUGAUUACGGAAUAUAUAUUGAAACAACCUAAAACGCAGCCUACUUGCAUUGUAAUUCAGAUAAUACUUUGGGAAAUGUAUUCGAUAUCUCAUCCUCUUUACAUACUUUGUCAGGUUACAAAUUUGCUUAGUGAUAUUUAUUUUUUUAUAAGUCGGUAAAUCAAAAUGGUCUGCGGAGACGCAAGAACUAGGGCUGCGGCGGUCGGAGUAAUUGCAAUAAUAAUCGCAAUUGUCAAUUUAAUUUUGCAACUUAUUAAUAGAGAGUUCAUAAGAAGCUGGUACUUCUACCUUCGAACGGGGAUCUGGAUUCUGAUUGGUCUAACCGCGGUUGCACUGCUGAUUGGGAUCUAUUAUGAAAAUAGUGUUAUUGUGAUGGUAUGGCUAAUUGUGGCUUCUGUGAACGGAGUCAUUUUGGCUAUUUUCUACAACAUUACUCUAGCGCACUUGAUUGAGGAUAUCGAUAUUAUUGUGGUUUCGAUUUUUUUUAUCAUUCACAUCGUUUUUUUUGUGUGUUGUGUUUGGUUUCCAUAUAAAUACUAUAGCACGAUCUCUAACUCUGACCCUUACUAGACCGCGGCCAUUACAUAGUGAAUGUGAUAAGGACUCGUACUUUAUAAUAAGUAUAAAAAUUGUUGAUUUUCGAACUUAAUAAAUCUUGAAGUUGGCGCACCGAGUAAUUUGGAUUUGCGGAACAUGAUUUAAGGUGCGGGGCGUAAUUUCGUUGUUACAUCCCAUAUACUUGUAGGAGAAGUCUUUUUUCGUGCUAAUAUCGUUGUAGCUUUCACAUUGGAAGGAAUUCGGCAGUCGUAUUGCUAACUAUCAUCAUGAUCAGUAAGCCUGGAUUCCAUUUCGUAUGUUGUCUGAUAGAUCAACUUUCUGUUGCAGCAAUUUUAGGAUUUUGCAUUUGCAUUCCUGCCAAAUACGUUUGGACGAUGAUUUAGGUCGUAAAUAUCGGCCGUCAUUAUCAAUAUAAUUCUGUGAGUUCAAUAAAUCCUAUAGUUUUCUUAAUAUCCAAACACCGACGUCUUUACGUUCCAUGUCAGUUUUAUGACAGCUAUCCGAAAAAAUCCCAACUCCGGAAUGUGUUUGUCGGUGGAUGUCGGUGGCCAGAGUAAAUGCUAUGCGAUCGCAAUAUGUGCAUUCUUUUAUGGAUUAUUGGAUAUUUCGUCAAUGCCGAAUCCGAACCAUUUAUAAUCAUUGGACUCUCGGCUUGGCUUCCGAUUCUUUUAGCCGCCAGUAUCCUGUUAUUGGGCGCCUGCCAGGAGAGUCGUAUGCUGGUGCAGAUGUCGAUCGUGGUGGCUGUGUGUGGUGGUUGCUUAUGGAUAAUUUCGAGCAUAGGGAUGCUCAUUAAUACAUUGGCGCAAAAAGAUAUUUUAAUUGAAACAGUGAUGCAAACUAUUUCCCUUUUACUUUUCAUCGGUCUGAUCGGGUUUCUCGUAUAUUUUCCAUAUAGGUAUUUGAAGGAACUGGAAAGAUAAGCUCAACAAAAAACUGCUUUUUUUGGUUAAUUUGGAAUAAGUCACAAUACCUCGGAGUUAUCCAAAUGGCAAUGGUAAAAUUUGCAUAAAAUAACAAUAGACGACAACAAAUCAAAUGCGAAUAGACAGACACAGACACAGACCCAGGCUUCGGCCUCGCCCUCGGCGGUGGCACCCUGUAGUAAGGCAGCCGCAAAUAGAAAGUGAAAAUCAAAUACGAAAUGCUACCGUUUAUUUUUGUAUUUUGUAUUUUCCCCCAUUUUCGUACUGUGUUUAUUUGUCGAGCGCCUAAUUUAAAUAAACAUUUAUUUGUACAAAGGCCUUAA